rnacentral:tmRNA from 1 species
GGGGGUGAUUUGGAUUCGACGCCGGUAUCAAAACCUUAGGUGCAUGCCGAGAGGGUAGUAACUCUCGUAAAUCAAUUACUGCAACU